GAGCGCAACCCUCACUUUUAGUUGCCAUCAUUAAGUUGGGCACUCUGAAAGAACUGCCAGUGAUAAGCUGGAGGAAGGUGGGGAUGACGUCAAGUCCUCAUGGCCCUUACGUGUUGGGCUACACACGUGCUACAAUGGCAUCUACAACAGGAAGCAAAACGGCAACGUUAAGCAAAUCCCGAAAAGAUGCCUCAGUUCGGAUUGCACUCUGCAACUCGAGUGCAUGAAGCUGGAAUUACUAGUAAUCGUGGAUCAGCGUGCCACGGUGAAUGCGUUCCCGGGUCUUGUACACACCGCCCGUCACACCAUGGGAGUUGGUUCUACCUUAAGGCAAGGUUUUAAACCCUUGACCACGGUAUAGUCAGCGACUGGGGUGAAGUCGUAACAAGGUAGCCGUAGGGGAACCUGCGGCUGGAUUACCUCCUUU
rnacentral:rRNA from 1 species